CCAAAAUGGCGGCACCUGGACAUUUUCUUUGUGCACAUGUGUUUAGUUAAGACUAUACCUCAUGUCCGUGGAACAAGUCUAUCAUACAGGAAAACUAAUUUGAAUCCCAUCUGAAUGUUGGAUGACAUAUAUCAAGAUGGCACUGAACAGGACAUAACUGAAGAAAAGGGAUGUGAGAGAAUCCAAUCUAACAUUUAAAAAUAAAUAUAUAUAUAUAUUA